GUACACGCUGUGACUAGCAUAUCAAUAAGCGGAGGAAAAGAAACUAACAAGGAUUCCCCUAGUAACGGCGAGUGAAGCGGGAAGAGCUCAAAUUUGAAAUCUUAAAGGGUUUCCCUUUACGAAUUGUAGUUUAAAGAAGUGUUUUCUGUUGAGGUUUUGGUAAAAGUUCUUUGGAAUAGGACAUCAUAGAGGGUGAGAAUCCCGUAUUUGACCUUUACUUUCAACUUUGUGAUACACUUUCAAAGAGUCGGAUUGUUUGGGAAUGCAGUCCAAAAUGGGUGGUAAAUUUCAUCUAAAGCUAAAUAUUGGCGAGAGACCGAUAGCGAACAAGUACCGUGAGGGAAAGAUGAAAAGAACUUUGAAAAGAGAGUUAAACAGUACGUGAAAUUGUCAAAAGGGAAGCGUUUGACACCAGUGUUGUUUUUCUGAAAAUCAAUUAAAGAACUGUUUAUGCUAAGCUGUUUAGACUUUAUCAGCUAACUGUUUAGUUUUGAGCUUUCCUUUAAUGCACUUUUCAGUUAACAAGUCAACAUCAAUUUCUUUUGCUGUAAAAAAGCUUGAGGAAGGUGGCUUGAGAUUCGUCUUAAGUGUUUAUAGCCUCUUGCCUAUGCAGUCGGAGAGAUUGAGGUCCUGCAGCGUAGAUCCUUCGGGGCUAAAUGCAUUUGUGCUAAGUUAUAGCAUUUUAUAGACAACUUGUUGACUAUGAUUUGUCUUGUAGCUUACUCGCUUAUGUUAUUUUACCUACGCUUAGGAUGUUGACGCGCGUGUGUGCGUG
rnacentral:rRNA from 1 species